CUCCAGACUCCUACGGGAGGCAGCAGUAGGGAAUAUUGCACAAUGGGGGGAACCCUGAUGCAGCGACGCCGCGUGGGUGAAGAAGUCAUUCGUGACGUAAAGCCCUAUCAGCAGGGAAGAAAAUGACGGUACCUGACUAAGAAGCCCCGGCUAACUACGUGCCAGCAGCCGCGGUAAUACGUAGGGGGCAAGCGUUAUCCGGAUUUACUGGGUGUAAAGGGAGCGUAGACGGCGGUGCAAGCCAGAUGUGAAAGCCCGGGGCUCAACCCCGGGACUGCAUUUGGAACUGUGCUGCUAGAGUGUCGGAGAGGCAGGCGGAAUUCCUAGUGUAGCGGUGAAAUGCGUAGAUAUUAGGAGGAACACCAGUGGCGAAGGCGGCUUACUGGACAGUAACUGACGUUGAGGCUCGAAAGCGUGGGGAGCAAACAGGAUUAGAUACCCUAGUA
rnacentral:rRNA from 1 species